rnacentral:rRNA from 1 species
AUUGAACGCUGGCGGCAUGCCUUACACAUGCAAGUCGAGCGGCAGCGCUGGGGCAACCCUGGCGGCGAGCGGCGAACGGGUGAGUAAUACAUCGGAACGUGUCCUGUCGUGGGGGAUAACCAGUCGAAAGACUGGCUAAUACCGCAUGAGAUCGAAAGAUGAAAGCGGGGGACCGCAAGGCCUCGCGCGAUUGGAGCGGCCGAUGUCGGAUUAGCUAGUUGGCGGGGUAAAGGCCCACCAAGGCGACGAUCCGGAGCUGGUUUGAGAGAACGACCAGCCACACUGGGACUGAGACACGGCCCAGACUCCUACGGGAGGCAGCAGUGGGGAAUUUUGGACAAUGGGGGCAACCCUGAUCCAGCCAUGCCGCGUGUGUGAAGAAGGCCUUCGGGUUGUAAAGCACUUUCGGACGGAACGAAAUCGCGCGGGCGAAUAUCCCGCGUGGAUGACGGUACCGUAAGAAGAAGCACCGGCUAACUACGUGCCAGCAGCCGCGGUAACAC